UACGGAGGGGGCUAGCGUUGUUCGGAAUUACUGGGCGUACAGCGCGCGCAGGCGGUCUUGGACGUGCCGUGUGACAGACGUCGGCUCAACCGACGUAGGCCAGGGUACACGACAAGACUGGAGACAGAGAGAGGGAUGUGGAAUACCCGGUGGAGCAGUGAAAUGCGUAGAGAUCGGGUGGAACACCAGGGGCGAAGGCGGCAUCCUGGCUCUGUUCUGACGCUGAGGCGCGAGAGCGUGGGGAGCAAACCGG
rnacentral:rRNA from 1 species